UAGGGAAUCUUCCGCAAUGGACGCAAGUCUGACGGAGCAACGCCGCGUGAGUGAAGAAGGAUUUCGGUUCGUAAAACUCUGUUGUUAGAGAAGAACAGCGCAUAGAGUAACUGUUAUGCGUGUGACGGUAUCUAACCAGAAAGCCACGGCUAACUACGUGCCAGCAGCCGCGGUAAUACGUAGGUGGCAAGCGUUGUCCGGAUUUAUUGGGCGUAAAGCGAGCGCAGGCGGUCAAUUAAGUCUGAUGUGAAAGCCCCCGGCUCAACCGGGGAGGGUCAUUGGAAACUGGUUGACUUGAGUGCAGAAGAGGAGAGUGGAAUUCCAUGUGUAGCGGUGAAAUGCGUAGAUAUAUGGAGGAACACCAGUGGCGAAGGCGACUCUCUGGUCUGUAACUGACGCUGAGGUUCGAAGGCGUGGGUAGCAAACAGG
rnacentral:rRNA from 1 species